rnacentral:rRNA from 1 species
GUAGCCUGCGAAAAGCUACGGGGAGCUGGCAAACGAGCUUUGAUCCGUAGAUGUCCGAAUGGGGAAACCCACUCCGAAUGGAGUAUCCAUGACUGAAUCCAUAGGUCAUGUGAGGCGAACGCGGUGAACUGAAACAUCUAAGUAACCGCAGGAAAAGAAAUCAACCGAGAUUCCCAGAGUAGUGGCGAGCGAAAUGGGAGCAGCCUGCAUUCUUUAUCUGAACUGUUAGCUGAACGCUCUGGAAAGUGCGGCCAUAGCGGGUGAUAGCCCCGUAAGCGAAAACAGAUUGGAAGAACUAGGUAUGCGAGAAGUAGGGCGGGACACGUGAAAUCCUGUCUGAAGAUGGGGGGACCAUCCUCCAAGGCUAAAUACUCGUGAUCGACCGAUAGU